rnacentral:rRNA from 1 species
GAUGAACGCUGGCGGCGUGCCUAAUACAUGCAAGUCGAACGCGCAGCGAAAGGUGCUUGCACCUUUCAAGCGAGUGGCGAACGGGUGAGUAACACGUGGAUAACCUGCCUCAAGGCUGGGGAUAACAUUUGGAAACAGAUGCUAAUACCGAAUAACACUUAGUAGCGCAUGAUACAAAGUUAAAAGGCGCUACGGCGUCACCUAGAGAUGGAUCAGCGGUGCAUUAGUUAGUUGGUGGGGUAAAGGCGUACCAAGACGAUGAUGCAUAGCCGAGGUGAAAGACUGAUCGGCCACAUAGGGACUGAGACACGGCCCAAACUCCUACGGGAGGCUGCAGUAGGGAAUCUUCCACAAUGGGCGCAAGCCUGACGGAGCAACGCCGCGUGUGUGAUGAAGGCUUUCGGGUCGUAAAGCACUGUUGUAUGGGAAGAAAUGCUAAAAUAGGGAAUGAUCUUAGUUUGACGGUACCAUACCAGAAAGGGACGGCUAAAUACGUGCCAGCAGCCGCCGCGG